rnacentral:rRNA from 1 species
GAUGUACGCUAGCUACAGGCUUAACACAUGCAAGUCGAGGGACCGGCGCACGGGUGAGUAACACGUAUCCAACCUGCCCUUUACUCGGGGAUAGCCAUUCGAAAGAAAGAUUAAUACCAGAUAUAAAGGAAGGGGAUGCGUGACAUUAGGUUGUUGGAGAGAUAAAGGCUCACAAAGCCUUAGAUGGAUAGGGGUUCUGAGCGGCAGGUCCCCCUGAUUGGAACUGGGAUAUGGUCCAAACUCCUGCGGGAGGAAGCAGGGAGGAAUAUAGGUCAAUGGGCUCUAGCCUGAACCAGCCAAGUAGCGUGAAGGAUGAAGGAUUAUGGGUCGUAAACUGCUUUUUUAAAAGAAUCUGUAUUAUAUCAAUAAGGAUCGGCUAACUCCGUGCCAGCAGCCGCGGUAAUAC